rnacentral:sRNA from 1 species
AAAUAACUAGUAUCGUUUGUGACUAGUUUAUGUUGCUUCGUUUAUGUUUAUGGGGAGUGACGAGUGAGUGUAAUAACUUCUGGUGAUCAUGAAUCUAAUCCAUCUUUGUUGUGAUUAUGCUUAACUUAUUGGUGUUUACAAAACCAAAUCAAAAAAUGAUCAUCCUUUGGAUUCGAACUCGUU